ACACUUGCGGGGCCUCGGAGGUGCUAGGGGCUGUGCCCUGCUGGACACCAGGACAGAGUCAUCUGCGGAAAAGAGCCUUGGCCUGGGAGUCUGGAGACCUGGCUUCCAGCCCUUGACCUCUGAGCCCUUGUUUGCUAGCGCUGACUCCAGGGUUAGUAAUACCAGCCCUACUUCACUGGGUGGAGUUGGGGACACUGGCAGUACUGUGCUUUGUGAAAAGGACAAAGGGCAUAUUUGAAAGCUGGCAAUACAUAAUGUUGAUUUUAAAAGGAACAUUCCAAACAUGAGGGAGGAUACCAUACGUGCAUUUUUUAAAGCACACGACAAACUUUCUACAUAUUUUUCAAAGGGAUGGGAGGUGAAUCGGAAGAAUACACAUUGAUACUUGGGCGCCUAUGAGGGUCAGUGAGGCUGGGAGGAAGGAAAACAAGAGUCCUUAGGCGUUUCCUGUUGCUGCUGUCAAAAAUGACCACAAAUUUAGUGAUUUAACAGUUUUAUUUUAUUACAGUUCUGGAGGUCAGAAGUGACACUGAGCUUAAAUCAAGGUGUGGGCAGAGAUGUAUUCCUUCUGGAUAUUCUAGGGGAGAAUCUGUGUCUUUGACUUUUCCAGCUUCUAGAGGCUACCCACAUUCCUUGGCUUGUUGCGGAACUACUCAGACCUCUGCUUCCCUUGUCGUAUCUGACUCUGACCCUCUUACUUCCCCUUUUCCCUUAUAAAUACCCUUGUGAUUAGAUUAGGUCCACCAGAUAAUUCAUAAUAAUCUCCCCAUCUCAAAAUCCUUGAUUUAAUCAUAACUGAAAAGUCAUUUUUGCUAUGUAAGUUAACAUAUUCACAGGUGUUGGGGAUCACGAUAUGGAAUCAUGGGAGGGGGACAUUAUUCUAUCACCUUCUCCCAAAAAAGAAUCAUGUCUAGGUGGAUGAUGAGACCCAUAAUGAGGUGUAUUUUGGCCGAAUUAAGCCAAUGCAUAUACCUGAAAACAGUUACAAAAAGUAUAGCAAUAAAAAUGCUGAUAAUAUACCUAGUCUAGACCCCACCCAAAGGGCACAGGGUUGUUUAACCUAUUCACAACAAAGGUUCCACUCUUGGAAUUAAGGCUCUCAAACUCAAUAAAUAUUUAUGAAAUUGUUCCAGGAACUGUUGAAGACACUCACCAAAAGCAAGCUCUGCUAACAGAAAGCUGCAGUCAGUCUGAGGGGCAAUGAUAAGGGCAAGAACAAGGAAUUAUGGGAUACAAAAAGGGUACCUUUUGGGAGGGAAGGAGCAAGGGAAGCUUCCAGGAGGAGGGCCUGCCUGUGCUGAAUCUCAGGAUGUUGAUUCUUUUGGCUAACGGUUCAGAAUAAAUUCCAGAAUCCAGGCAUGGUGGCAUGCACCUGUAAUCCCAGCUAUUCUGGAGGCUGAGGUGGAAGGAUCACCUGAGCCCAGGAGUUCAAAACCAGCCUGGGUCUGUAACAGAGUGAGACCCCGUUCUCAAAAAAAAAAAAAAUAAAUCCUGGCUUGCAUGUGUUAUCGAACAAAAUAAUGUUUAUGAAAACAGUUUGUAAAGUAUCAAGGCCUGUAGAACUGAGAGAUAGUAUCAUUAUUUCUAAAUCCCUCCCACAAAUAGGUCAGCCACUGUGUAUCCCAAGGCCUUUCCUCCACCACCACGGACAUAUACACUUGUUGACAUUUGCUAUAAACAUUAUACAAUAAGUUUAUAAUAACGUUUCCAAAAUGGUUAUGUCAUCUGCCUUUUAAGGAGUCUUUAGUUGGAACAGGAGCCCCUGGGGACUGGCUGAGUGCCAUCAUGGGCACUGCUUGGCAUAGAUUGACCAAGCGCUUAAUAAAACAGUAAUGGUAGCAAAUGAUUAGAAAAAUAGGGAUUGCAGCUUGUCAUGAGCUUCCAGAAAAGCCCUGAGAAUCUGAACAUCGUGAGGAAAAAAAACAAACGGCAGUGUGGAGAGGGGAGAGACCUGAUUUCUUUUCACCAAGAUAGUUCCGGCCUGCUGGCCUUAAGACUAUAUUGUUACUUUCCUUUCUUCCCGACCCUGAACAUCAUGCAACGAUUUUUCAAAUUUUUGGAAGGGGGUGGAAAGAGUCAGGAAUGCUGUUUCUUCAACAUAAAACUUGUAUUUGUAAUCUCCGUGUAGUGUGAUUCGAAGAGCGUCUUGGAUUGAAUCAGGCCACUGCCCUGGUCUGCAGGAAGAAUGAAGACAGAUAGAAGGCUUUCCAGGAACUGCAGUAGACAAGGAGCUUUCAGUUUGGCUUUGUGUAAAUCAAAAUCAUGAUGAGUCAACAUCAAGUUUAACCCUUAGAGUCCUGAUGACUUGGGUGCGAGACUACCAGUGGCCUUUCUUUCACUUUGGCCCGGGGUGGCUGGAGUUCUGCGCUGCCCUGUGUACCUAGGCCACUCCACUCAACUGUUUUGACCUUUGCCCUUCUCACUAAGUCUUCGUCCAUUUCUGUAACUGGAGGCUGAAAAGGGCAUAUGCAAGAAAAUGUCUGGCAGGAAAGAAUGAUGUCCCUCUUUCCAAAGUCAGGUGUCCUUCCAUCCAUUUAGAGACACCUUCCUGAGUCCAAAAGGGACACAGACACCAGCAUAUUCCAAGGGCUUAGCUAAAAGUGCUGGUCCCUUAGACAAAAAUCUCACAAAGAGUCCUCUAAGCAAAACCUCACACCACUGCAAAACAAAGAAAAAGGAGAAGUUGAAAACAGGGAAUUUCCCUCCCGAUUCUGGAUCAGUGGCCCCCAACCAGGGGCAAUUUUACAUCCCAGGGGACAUUCGGCAAUAUGGAGAGAUAUUUUUGGUUGUCAUGACUGAAGCGGGGGCAUGCUUCUGGAAUGCAGUGAGUAGAGGCUGGGGAUGCUGCUGUUAAUACAAUGCACACGACCGCCCCCACAACAAAGACUUACUCUACUCAAGAUGACAACAGCGCCAAAGGUGAGAGAGAUCCUAAGCUAGAAUACUCUUUGUUGUCUUUUGUAUUUGGUCCCCACCCACCCACUGUCCCCCAUGCCUGGCCAAAAUUAGAGAUGAAUGCUAAAAGUAUGUACUCUUGACAACUCCCUUUCCUGUAUCUCGUACCCCCAGUUCCCCAUCCACUGUCUAGUCCUGCAGUCACUGAUUAGAUGGUAAAACAUCUCUCAGAUCUAUUCCUCCCCCGACCACCCAGUUUCGCCUCUAUGGUUCUAUUUCAGGACUUUAUUACCAUUCCAGAAACAGUCUUCAAACUGGCCAUGAGGGUCUACCCUUUACAAGACAGAUCUUCCCAAUGAGCAAUCUGUCCAUGUCACUCCUCAGCUUAAGCUUAAGUGACACCCCUCCCUUCAUCAAAUGCCACAAAAGGCAGUCUCAACUCCUCUGCCUGCAGGCUUGCCUCUUCAGGUUAGAUUCCCCACACUCUUCCUAGCUUCACUUCCAGCCAAGCUUCCAGGUUCCAGGUGGCUGACUGGCCACCUUCAGGCUGAAUCUCCCUUGUGAGCAAUUGUGUUUGGUCCAUAUCAUGUUGGAAUUCAUGGGGAUCUAGAUGCCAAAGUGUUUUUUUUAAGUCAGGAGAUUUUGCCUAAGGCCCCAGAUUUCCAGCUUCUCUUAAUAAAUCAAAAGUCCUGGUAAUAUUGGACCUGUUUCAGUGUAGAAACCGUCAGCAGAUGUCAGAUGGGCUGCCACCUUGUUAACAGGGCAUGUACUUCCUGUCUGCACAUGCCCUAGGGCUCCCUAUUGCUCCCUGGCCUAGUCAGCGUUUCCUCACUUAUGACUUGCCCGGUUCUUGUUUGUCACCUGUGAUAUUUUCUCACUGCAAACCUUUUAUCUUGCUGUUCCCUUUAUCUAAAAUGCUUUUCCAUUUCUCAAGUGUCACAUUUUUUAGGGGCUUCUCUAACUCCCAAAUGCAAAAUUCUUUGCUCCCUCCUGUGUGUGUGCUCAUAGCACCAGACACGUUCCUCUAUCAUAUCAAAUCACACAGAGGUUUGUGUGCAUGUCUAUUUCUGCCACUGGAUUCAAGCUCCUGGAGGUCAGACUGUCCAGGGUGACUCCAGGUUU
rnacentral:lncRNA from 10 species